AUUGAACGCUGGCGGCAGGCCUAACACAUGCAAGUCGAACGAGUGGCGGACGGGUGAGUAAUGUCUGGGAAACUGCCUGAUGGAGGGGGAUAACUACUGGAAACGGUAGCUAAUACAGCAUACUAUAGGUUCUGCCCAUAUGGGAUUAGCUAGUUGGUGGGGUAACGGCUCCCCAAGGCGACGAUCCCUAGCUGUUUUGAGAGGAUGACCAGCCACACUGGAACGGAGACAAGGUCCAGACUCCUACGGAAGGCAGCAGUGGGGAAUAUUGCACAAUGGGAGAAAGCCUGAUGCAGACAUGCCGCGUGUAUGAAGAAGGCCUUAGGGUUGUAAAGUACUUUCAGCGGGGAGGCGUUACCCGCAGAAGAAGCACCGGCUAACUCCGUGCCAGCAGCCGCGGUAAUAC
rnacentral:rRNA from 1 species